rnacentral:rRNA from 1 species
GACGAACGCUGGCGGCGUGCUUAACACAUGCAAGUCGAACGGAAAGGCGCUGAUUUUGUGGGUUGCUCGAGUGGGGAAGGGGUGAGUAACACGUGAGUAAACUGUCCUUGACUUUGGGAUAACUUUAGGAAACUGGGGCUAAUACAGGAUAGGAGAUACUGAUGCAUGGUGGGGGAUGGAAAGAUUCGGCGGUUGGGGAUGGACUAGAGGCUUAUCAGCUUGUUGGUGGGGUAGUGGCUUACAAAGGCUUUGAAGGGUAGCCGGCCUGAGAGGGUGACCGGCCACAAUGGUACUGAGAUACGGCCCAGACUCCUACGGGAGGCAGCAGUGGGGAAUAUUGCACAAUGGGCGCAAGCCUGAUGCAGCAGCGCCGCGUUCGGGAUGACGUCCUUCGGGUUGUAAACCACUUUCGCCUGUGACGAAGCGUGCGUGACGGUAAUGGGUAAAGAAGCACCGGCUAACUACGUG